UCCUUAGCUGCAGCCCACUGCCUUCCCGUCGCUCGCCCAACAUGAAUCGCUGCAGCGCCCCUCGAGGCCUCCAACCCCUCCUGCAUCGCCACUUCCCAACGCGCACGCCCAGCCCGCGGUCCCGCGCCCCUGCUGCUGCCGCGCCUCGCGACCUCCCCUCCCCUCCCCUCCCCACCAACGGAGCAGUGCGCACCGCCCCGUUCGCUGGUCGAUUCGCCGCGGCUGUCGCCCGCGCGGCCAAGCCCAGGCCGUGAUGAAGAUCUCCACACCGGUUCGUCGAAAAAAAAGAUCUCCGCGCCGAACUGCACCUGCCCGCUGCCCAGGGAGCAUAACGAGAACAGACCGCCGCUGCCACUCCCCGGCCAAGUUUCCGGCCCCCACGGUACAUCCGCACCGCGAGUAAGAAGGAAUACAUUUCGAGAACUUCCAAGAGCAAGAGUUUGAAGAAUCUGAGCAGUACGAAGCUCAACGGAUCUCAAAAAUAAGCAUUCUUCAGUGAAUUAAUCAUGUCUAACAGUCAAAGCAAAUGAAUGGGGGUGAUACAAGGCCAUAUACGUGUAACGUGGGCAUGAAAUCUCUGCUGAAAUGCUUUCUAGCUGAGCAACUAAAUUAAAAAUGGCUAAUAAUUUUAGCCAAAACAAAUGACAAAGUCUGAUACAUUCCUUCGAAUGGAAUGUCAGGAACAGCUGGUUCCGAUUUAUUUGUCGCUCACAAGGGGGCUGUAAAUAGGGUACCACAUUUUGCGAGCAACGUAGUCCACCGUUUCCGACUGUCAACAACGCGAUAAACUUAGUUCAGACACUGCCAUAGCCUUGAACUAUAGAAUGUGACAUUAAUUUCUGUGUAGAUGGUACCUCUGACAUGCUCCCAAGCUCCCUAGGACCCACAUCGCAGCACCCCUCAGCAAGGUCUUCAGCGACAGCGGCACGGACGACUGCUGCGCCGACCUGUGCAGUGAUGUGCCUGAUACUGCAGUGUUUGAUGGAUACGCCAGUCAACCGUUAGUCGAAAAUGGACAUGGAGUUCAUAUUACAAUGAGUAUAGUAAGAAAUGGGAUGGAUGUGCCAGCAUGCCGUAGCUGAUGAAGCUAACCUGGAGACUGAAGGGAAGAGGAUUCCUUUUCGAAUUUCAUCAUCUGUGAUGUAUGAUGCCAGGCUGCAUUGCAAAAAUAAGCAGAUGCUUAUCUAGGUUAUUGAUCCACAAGAAAAAGAAAAGAAUGGUUCGAAUCAGAUUAGACGUUUGUGGAACCAGUGUAAUUGAUAUCUUAUGCCAAUGGAACUUCAGCAAAGCUAAAUGCGGGGGCACCUAAUCUGGUGGGCCAACUAUA